GCCACAUCAUGUUGAAACACUAGUUCUCAUACGAUCAAUGAAAUUAAGCAACAUUGAACCUGGUCAGUACCUAGAUGGGUGACUGUUUGGGAAUACCAGGUGCUGUA